rnacentral:lncRNA from 1 species
GUGCAAUUAUUUUAUAGGUAGUCUUACAGGGAAAACUAUCUAAAAAAAAAUUUAAACAAAAUCUUGCUUAAACAGAAAUCCAAUCUAAACUAAACUGUUUUUCUAUGUUGUGAUGUUAUGCUAUUGUUUCAGAAAAAGGGAGAAGGUUUGGAUCCAUUAAAACGUUUAAUCCCACUGCAAAUGUUUGCACCUGUCCUAAGUCAGGAAUCGGAUGUACAGUAGUUGUCGUUUGUUUAUGUAAUUUAUACAUGUUUCUCGUUUCUUGUUUAUUUAUUUUUUUGUUGGUUUUCCUGUUUGAAUGGUUUUACACUAGUAAUUUUGGGGCCCUUUAUAGCUUGUUGUUCGGUGUGAGCCAAGGCUCCGUGUUGAAGGCCCUACAUUGACCUAUAAUGGUUUACUUUUUUUAAAUUGUUAUUUGGAUGGAGAGUUGUCUCAUUGGCACUCACACCACAUCUUCCUAUAUCUAUUGAUCUAAAUUCCAGUCAUAUCAAAAUGUAUGUGCUGUUAACCUGAUUUAACUGAACAUCUGCCAAAGCCAAAUAAAAACUUAAGUCUUCAAAGUAAGGUUUACACAGGUUUCACUGUACUUUCAUAUGUUAUUGAAAAAUCUUGGCACUAUUAAAUCAUUCCUGGCAACUUUUUUUUUCAGGUAAUCAGCAUGGUCACAUAAAAAUCCAAUGUAAUUUUCAAAAUGCUCUUAUGUAAUUCAUAUACUACAAUUAAUUUUCACUAAGUUAAAUCAAUUCUAGAAUUCAAAAAUUCAAGUAAAAUAUAUCAAAAGCAACAUUAUAUGAAAUACAACAAAUUGAAAUGAACAACACUUAAAAGUUUUAAACUAUGACAUACAAAAUUCUAAAAGAUAUGUAAAUAAAUUCUUCUAACUAAGCUAUAUAAGAUGUUAAUUUUCUCAAAAUUUCACAAAAAAAUCAAAUAAGAAAAAUAUCCUGCUGCGUGAACUGAUCUUUUUCUAGAAGAUCAGAAAUGAAUAUGAAAACAUGAAAUAAAUUCUAGAAAUUAUAGAAUUCAAACUUAAAUGCAAUGAACAAUCAAGCUGUCAAAAAAAUCUGUUAUAAUUUUGAAUUCUGAAAAAUUGAUAAGAAAUAUAUGUAUGAAGAAAACUUACACAAUUUUAUAGGAGAGUAAGCCAUGUAUAAUACAUUAAUGGCUAAAAAAAGAGGGGGCUGGGCUAUGUUAUAUCAUACUAUAAUAUAAUUGACAGUAAAAUAACCCUAACCUUAUUUAGUUCAGGAUUAGCUGGGUUAGUUUUCAUUGUACAUUCUUAACAAUUUUCCCGAAUUCAAAAUUGUUCCAAAUUCAAAUGAUUCCUUGUUAACAGUUCAUAGAGCUGUAUUUCUAAUAUUUUUUUUUAAUUGCAGAAAUAAUCAUAAUCUCACAUGGUACAAAAAAAAAUCUCAUUUUAAAGUAC